AUUUUAAAACAACUUUCAACAACGGAUCUCUUGGCUCUCGCAUCGAUGAAGAACGCAGCGAAAUGCGAUAAGUAAUGUGAAUUGCAGAAUUCAGUGAAUCAUCGAAUCUUUGAACGCACCUUGCGCUCCUUGGUAUUCCGAGGAGCAUGCCUGUUUGAGUGUCAUGAA
rnacentral:rRNA from 1 species